GGAUACUUCGGGAAACCGAAGCUAAUACCGGAUAGGAUCUUCUCCUUCAUGGGAGAUGAUUGAAAGAUGGUUUCGGCUAUCACUUACAGAUGGGCCCGCGGUGCAUUAGCUAGUUGGUGAGGUAACGGCUCACCAAGGCAACGAUGCAUAGCCGACCUGAGAGGGUGAUCGGCCACACUGGGACUGAGACACGGCCCAGACUCCUACGGGAGGCAGCAGUAGGGAAUCUUCCGCAAUGGACGAAAGUCUGACGGAGCAACGCCGCGUGAGUGAUGAAGGCUUUCGGGUCGUAAAACUCUGUUGUUAGGGAAGAACAAGUACGAGAGUAACUGCUUGUACCUUGACGGUACCUAACCAGAAAGCCACGGCUAACUACGUGCCAGCAGC
rnacentral:rRNA from 2 species